UACGUAGGGUGCAAGCGUUGUCCGGAAUUAUUGGGCGUAAAGAGCUCGUAGGCGGCUUGUCGCGUCGUCCGUGAAAACCAGGGGCUCAACCCCUGGCUUGCGGUCGAUACGGGCAGGCUAGAGUUCGGUAGGGGAGAACGGAAUUCCCGGUGUAGCGGUGAAAUGCGCAGAUAUCGGGAGGAACACCGGUGGCGAAGGCGGUUCUCUGGGCCUGUACUGACGCUGAGGAGCGAAAGCGUGGGGAGCGAACAGG
rnacentral:rRNA from 1 species